ACCUAAAUUUUCUCUCUUUUAGUUUAAACCCAUUACCCCUUGUCCUGACAGGACAACAUGUGACAGGACAACAUUCUACCUACAUGUGAAAAGUUGGUCCCCUUGCUGCUUGUGAACUCCUUUCAAGUACUGGAAGAUCACAAUGAGGUCUCCCUGGAGCCUUUUCUUCACCUGCUGGAGGUGACUUCUGAGUGAGCACGUUAACUGUUGGUCAAGAACCUUUCCAAAAUUGUAGUUGAGCUUCCUUUACAGAGAAAAACUAAGGAUGUUUAAAUUGGUGCAGAAGAGGCCCAUGUCACAGAGGUGGCAAACACAUGGUGCUGAAGGUGCAGCUGAGGAGUUUGAGCUGGGCAGCUGCAGCAUGGAGGAAGUGCUGCUUUCUGAGUUGCACAGCUAACACUUGGAUGACUUUGGGUUCUUCUAAGUCCUCCCAUGAGUGACUGUUUUCUGCGACUCAGCUCCCAUAUCUGCUAGGAGAACAGCAGUGUGUUUGUCAACCCACAGGAGUGAAAGAGUCAGCUCUGCUAAAUGCUGCAACCUCUUUGGCUGGACAGUGUUGUGGACAGUGUCUCUUCAGUUGAGGGAGAAUUUUGCAGUGGCUACUUCAAGAUUCACACCAGAGGACCCGAGAGCAGCAGGCUCAACCAUGCAGGUGCCAAUGGGAGGCACAGCAAGAAUAGAGGCUUGAUGAAUGCAUAAACCAAGGUGAGAUUCAGGAGCAGGAAUCACAGCUGGGCUGCUGCUCCAUACCCAGAAUGGCAUGCCAUUAUGUUUUUCAUCUUCUUCCUUUGAGCUGGGUGAGAAGUGCUUCAACUCUUUGUGAGCUUCUGUUCAACCAUUACCACACCUGGCUUAGCGGGUAUGAGUUAGAGUCUCUCCUGCUUUCUUUGGGGGUGCAAGCUCAGUAGGGAGCCACUGAUAAAGUGGUGCAAUUCUCCUUACAAGAUAGGAACUUCUGAGGGUUACUGCUCAUGGGCUGUCUUGCUCGCAUUUUUACAGCACCUGAUGUUGUCAUAGCUGAUAGAUUGAUUAUUCAGUGGUUGAACAUAGACAAAUUAUUUUACUGUAUGACUGUUUGAUCUAGGAGAUAGCAGAGUCCUGAAUUUCCACCUAAUACACUUUUAUCUCAUCCUGAGUCUGCUGCUAGAGGUGGCUUUGCCAGCAGAGGCACAGUGUGGUGGUCUUCUCUAGUGAUGGAGUUUUGAUGCACUGUGCCAGGGUCCCAGGUUAGGAGCGCUGGCACAGAAGAGGGUAAUGCUCCAUUUUUCUGCAUGCAUUAUGCCUAUUUUCACCAGCCAAGAAGGUGUAGUGAGCAAAACUGUUAGAAAAACAAAAUAUAUUCAUCAAUAGUUUAUGCAUCACUGGUGAAUGAAUUAUUUGUAAGCACCAGUGCACUGUUCUCCAUAGAAGAGCUAUAAAACCCUGGCUUGACUUACCAAGCCCUGGCCAAGCCUUCCUUGCUCGUUUACACACUCUCUAUAGCGUUUCCUUUUUCCAUUGCUUUAUUCAUAAGAUGGUGAUUUUUAUCGCUCUCUACUCAGUAAUAAUGUGGUUCCUAUCCUCCUUGCUAGAAGAAAUUUCUUAUUCUUUUUAUUACAUAUAAUCAUUCUUUCCUUAAUUUAUAGCAUGUCAUGUAUUAUUCAGUGACAUCUCUUGGCUCUGAUUACAGGUUCUAUAUAAUCUUACAAACUUCAAAAAUGAUUGUUUAAAUUACAAUAAAAUAAUAUCCAGC
rnacentral:lncRNA from 1 species